GAAUGCUGACAUAAGUAACGAUAAAGCGGGUGAAAAGCCCGCUCGCCGGAAGACCAAGGGUUCCUGUCCAACGUUAAUCGGGGCAGGGUGAGUCGACCCCUAAGGCGAGGCCGAAAGGCGUAGUCGAUGGGAAACGGGUUAAUAUUCCCGUACUUGGUGUUACUGCGAAGGGGGGACGGAGAAGGCUAUGUUGGCCGGGCGACGGUUGUCCCGGUUUAAGCGUGUAGGCUGGUUUUCCAGGCAAAUCCGGAAAAUCAAGGCUGAGGCGUGAUGACGAGGCACUACGGUGCUGAAGCAACAAAUGCCCUGCUUCCAGGAAAAGCCUCUAAGCAUCAGGUAACAUCAAAUCGUACCCCAAACCGACACAGGUGGUCAGGUAGAGAAUACCAAGGCGCUUGAGAGAACUCGGGUGAAGGAACUAGGCAAAAUGGUGCCGUAACUUCGGGAGAAGGCACGCUGACACGUAGGUGAAGUGAUUUACUCAUGGAGCUGAAGUCAGUCGAAGAUACCAGCUGGCUGCAACUGUUUAUUAAAAACACAGCACUGUGCAAACACGAAAGUGGACGUAUACGGUGUGACGCCUGCCCGGUGCCGGAAGGUUAAUUGAUGGGGUCAGCGCAAGCGAAGCUCCUGAUCGAAGCCCCGGUAAACGGCGGCCGUAACUAUAACGGUCCUAAGGUAGCGAAAUUCCUUGUCGGGUAAGUUCCGACCUGCACGAAUGGCGUAAUGAUGGCCAGGCUGUCUCCACCCGAGACUCAGUGAAAUUGAACUCGCUGUGAAGAUGCAGUGUACCCGCGGCAAGACGGAAAGACCCCGUGAACCUUUACUAUAGCUUGACACUGAACAUUGAGCCUUGAUGUGUAGGAUAGGUGGGAGGCUUUGAAGUGUGGACGCCAGUCUGCAUGGAGCCGACCUUGAAAUACCACCCUUUAAUGUUUGAUGUUCUAACGUGGACCCGUUACCCGGGUUGCGGACAGUGUCUGGUGGGUAGUUUGACUGGGGCGGUCUCCUCCUAAAGAGUAACGGAGGAGCACGAAGGUUGGCUAAUCCUGGUCGGACAUCAGGAGGUUAGUGCAAUGGCAUAAGCCAGCUUGACUGCGAGCGUGACGGCGCGAGCAGGUGCGAAAGCAGGUCAUAGUGAUCCGGUGGUUCUGAAUGGAAGGGCCAUCGCUCAACGGAUAAAAGGUACUCCGGGGAUAACAGGCUGAUACCGCCCAAGAGUUCAUAUCGACGGCGGUGUUUGGCACCUCGAUGUCGGCUCAUCACAUCCUGGGGCUGAAGUAGGUCCCAAGGGUAUGGCUGUUCGCCAUUUAAAGUGGUACGCGAGCUGGGUUUAGAACGUCGUGAGACAGUUCGGUCCCUAUCUGCCGUGGGCGCUGGAGAACUGAGGGGGGCUGCUCCUAGUACGAGAGGACCGGAGUGGACGCAUCACUGGUGUUCGGGUUGUCAUGCCAAUGGCACUGCCCGGUAGCUAAAUGCGGAAGAGAUAAGUGCUGAAAGCAUCUAAGCACGAAACUUGCCCCGAGAUGAGUUCUCCC
rnacentral:rRNA from 1 species